CUAGCCCCCCCCAUCGGAGGGAAUUUUAGGUUAUUGUCGGAGCAAUUUUGACAAAAUAACGUACGAAAACUGCUUAUUUUAGUCAUUUUAGCCCCCCUGUCGGAAGCUCCAUCCCCUCUGUCGGAUUUCUGGCGCCACCUCUGGCUGGCACCCCAAACAAAAAGGUUCAUCUUUAUGGGAAAGGUCUGAGUUUCGGACACCACGUCAUCUCGAUUUUAUUGGCAUCAACAUAAUUUUGUUUUUAAUUGUAAUUUAACAUUGUACAAUGAUACAAUGACAUGACAUCAAAAUGUUCUGGUCUCCACCCUACCACUUUCUUUGUAUUUUUGGGCAAAUCACGAAUUAAAUGUUUUUGAAAAGCAGGGAUUCGGAACCCGAUGUCCUUUGCAUGGAUCGCUAUCUGACCAGUGGUAUAGUGCUAUCAAACGAACAAAGGAAGCUCUUGCACAAAAUGUUGCGAAAAAAAUGGCAAAAGUAAAAAUUUGCCAAUUUUUGCAUCAAAAAUGGGGGCUCAGCCCCCAUGAGAUCCCUAGCACUACAACCCUGAAUCUGACCCAUGUUGAUUUACAUACUAACUUUGACAUCACAACUCAUCAGCGUUGAACAAAUAAAGUUGACGACAAAGAUAUUUUUGAUUGGACCCUUUGCUUUGCCGUCAGGAGGAAAUUCAUAUUGGGGGCCUGCCCGUUGUAUUCCUUCUCAUCUACAGUUUGACAAUUAUUAGGGGAUGGGGCUCCAGCCCUCCAGCCUCCCCGCUUUCGAUGGCUCUGCUUUAGUCAUGCAAAUCUAAUUUCUGGGAGAGGGAAAAGGCAAAUAUUUCUUCACGUUUUGUGGAAUACUAGCCAAAAAAUGAAGUAAACGCCUAGUGUUGCCACAGUCAACCAGUGGUCCGAGGGAAGCCAACUUUCAUAAAUUUACUUGAUAAAGGCUGGAGAUUUAUCCGAAGCAGGCUUAUUCAAACCUACUUGGAGCAUCGUUAAAAGAUUUCAGUACUAAAGCAGUGAAUAAUUUCAAAGGAAUAUAGCAUCGAAUUCAGCAAACAAUAAAAUUCGCGUAAAAGCUAGCUUGGGUACCAGAGCAAACUCUCCUCUUCCUCUGCAAAACUGCCCCCUUCCCAUAGUGUACUUUAAAUCAAGCGGAGAUGUGCGGUCAAGGCCACGUAGUCUGCGGGGUUUUAGAGGCUUGAGCCGAGACGAUGACAACAAACAACAAACAUACGACGAUUUCAAGCCAUGCAGGUAUAAUGUUGCAUAGAGGUUUGUUUUGCAGAACAGCAGGACUUCUAAGCAACUUUGCGCAUUUUUAAACUAGACAAGGUUCGUUUCGCGUAUACUCUUCUUCGACACACAUUUUGCAGAGAAACGAGAAAUCGCUGUCAACAUGCUAAAGAUAGUAGUCUUGCUCGCAUCGUCGUUUGUUGCAUCCUUCUGCCACUCGCCUCCAAACGAGAAACUAAAAGAGGAGGUCGACUGUAGCCAGGCGCCUGAUAUUCUCUCGUGGCAUAUCCAUGUUAUGUACGACGAACUUAACGAAAGGAUAAAGAAGCAUUCAUUGGCUCUUCUAGAAAAGUUUGUUGCCAAAUUUGGUGACGAGUUAGGCCCCCCUUGCGAGGGACUGUUCCAUCAAGAAAAUCUUUGUCUGUAUCCACCCGAAAGUGCAGGAGGACCAUUCCCAGUAGCACAAUGGGCCGUCUCCAUUCCUCUUGAGCACUACAUUUCAAAAGUAGCUUGGUUUGCACAACAUCGAAGCGCCAAUGGAACAAAGGUGGACCUUUUUAUACAUCCGAAUUCUGGCUGUCUUGUGCCAGAUCACACUGACUGGGCACUUUGGGGAGGUGACAAAUGGCAGGUCAAUGAAGACUUCCUGGCAACAUUUACAGGGGACAAAAAAAGCCCAAAAAAAGAAGAACUUUAAUAACACAUGACGUUUUUGAUAAAAAGAAAAUAUUUUAGCUGUUGUCAUACAUGGGCUUUGACUA